rnacentral:lncRNA from 1 species
AUUGGCCAAACGUUUGUCUGUUGUUGUAAAUUCAUAUUAUUAUCUCAUGUUGGUUAUAAAUAAUCGGGCAAAUGUUGGCAUUAUGUUAGUAGCAACAUAGGGCCGAUAUGAAAUUUUGUUAAUAGAAUUGAUUAUAUAAUAUUUUACGCUUUAUUUCUCUUGGGAGGCGGAUAAUUUCGAUUGCAGCAGGCUUUAUGAAAACUUAAUGUUAUACCGACAGUGUUUAUCAACUGAAAUUACAUUUACAACUCUAUGUUGGGCCAAUGCUGGCCCAACGUUGCGUGAUCAUAUAUUAUACUCUAUAUAUAAGUCAGAUAAAAUUUAUACUGGAAUAUCAUUACUGUAAUAAAAAAAAUGUAUACCGUAAACAUAGAUUGCCUGGUUAAAAAUUAAAAUUUAUUGCAAUC